rnacentral:rRNA from 1 species
AUUGAACGCUGGCGGCAGGCCUAACACAUGCAAGUCGAGCGAGCGGCGGACGGGUGAGUAAUGUAUGGGGACUGCCCGAUAGAGGGGGAUAACUACUGGAAACGGUAGCUAAUACCGCAUACUAUCGGAUAACCCAUAUGGGAUUAGCUAGUUGGUGCGGGAAUGGCUCACCUAGGCGACGAUCCCUAGCUGGUCUGGGAGGCUGAUCAGCCACACUGGGACUGAGACACGGUCCAGACUCCUACGGAGGCAGCAUUAGGGAAUAUUGCACAAUGGGCGCAAGCCUGAUGCAGCCAUGCCGCGUGUAUGAAGAAGGCCCUAGGGUUGUAAAGUACUUUCAGUAGGGAGGCGUUACCGACAGAAUAAGCAACGGCUAACUCCGUGCCAGCAGCCGCGGUAAUAC